UUCAGUGUCUUGCCCAAGGACACUUCGACAUGGGACUGCAGGGCCAGGGAUCGAACCACCAACUUUCCAAUUGGCAGGCCACCGCACUACCACUUACCACAGCCGCCCCAUGUGUGCAGAUGUGUGUGUGUGUGUGUGUGUGUGU